rnacentral:misc_RNA from 1 species
GAAAUGCGAUAAGUAAUGUGAAUUGCAGAAUUCAGUCAAUCAUCGAAUCUUUGAACGCACAUUGCGCCCGCCAGAAUUCUGGCGGGCAUGCCUGUUCGAGCGUCAUUUCAACCCUCGAGCUCCCCUUUCGGGGGGAGCCCGGCGUUGGGGACCCGGCGCUAACAACGCCGGCCCCGAAAUGGAGUGGCGGCCCGUCCGCGGCGACCUCUGCGUAGUAACAACCACUCGCACCGGGACCCGGGCGCGGCCACGCCGUAAAACACCCCACCUUCCGAAUGUUGACCUCGAAUCAGGUAGGAAUACCCGCUGAACUUAAGC